rnacentral:rRNA from 1 species
UACGAAGGGGGCUAGCGUUGUUCGGAAUUACUGGGCGUAAAGCGUGCGCAGGCGGCUGCUCAAGUCAGGGGUGAAAGCCCAGAGCUCAACUCUGGAAUUGCCUUUGAUACUGGCUGUCUUGAGUUCGGGAGAGGUGAGUGGAAUGCCGAGUGUAGAGGUGAAAUUCGUAGAUAUUCGGCGGAACACCAGUGGCGAAGGCGACUCACUGGCCCGAUAUUGACGCUGAGGCACGAAAGCGUGGGGAUCAAACAGG